GUGCGCGAGGGAGCACUCUCCCCUGAAUGCUUCCUCUUCAGCUCCCUCAUGCGCCACGUACUGAUGCCGGGGCUGGAAGAUGAUGUCAUCUUCCGGCUCCGGUAUCAGUGCGGUGCGGGAGGGAGCUGAAGAGAAAGCACACAGGGGAGAGUGCUCCCUCGCACGC